UUGAACGCUGGCGGAAUGCUUUACACAUGCAAGUCGAGCGGCAGCGCGGGGGCAACCCUGGCGGCGAGCGGCGAACGGGUGAGUAAUACAUCGGAACGUACCCAGUUGUGGGGGAUAGCCCGGCGAAAGCCGGAUUAAUACCGCAUAAGUCCUGAGGGAGAAAGCGGGGGACCGUAAGGCCUCGCGCGAUUGGAGCGGCUGAUGUCGGAUUAGCUAGUUGGUGGGGUAAAGGCCUACCAAGGCGACGAUCCGUAGCUGGUCUGAGAGGAUGAUCAGCCACACUGGGACUGAGACACGGCCCAGACUCCUACGGGAGGCAGCAGUGGGGAAUUUUGGACAAUGGGCGCAAGCCUGAUCCAGCCAUGCCGCGUGAGUGAAGAAGGCCUUCGGGUUGUAAAGCUCUUUCAGCAGGAGCGAAACGGUCGUUUUUAAUACAGACGGCUAAUGACGGUACCUGCAGAAGAAGCACCGGCUAACUACGU
rnacentral:rRNA from 1 species